GAUGAACGCUGGCGGCGUGCCUAAUACAUGCAAGUCGAGCGAACGGACGAGAAGCUUGCUUCUCUGAUGUUAGCGGCGGACGGGUGAGUAACACGUGGAUAACCUACCUAUAAGACUGGGAUAACUUCGGGAAACCGGAGCUAAUACCGGAUAAUAUUUUGAACCGCAUGGUUCAAAAGUGAAAGACGGUCUUGCUGUCACUUAUAGAUGGAUCCGCGCUGCAUUAGCUAGUUGGUAAGGUAACGGCUUACCAAGGCAACGAUGCAUAGCCGACCUGAGAGGGUGAUCGGCCACACUGGAACUGAGACACGGUCCAGACUCCUACGGGAGGCAGCAGUCGGGAAUCUUCCGCAAAGGGCGAAAGCCUGACGGAGCAACGCCGCGUGAGUGAUGAAGGUCUUCGGAUCGUAAAACUCUGUUAUUAGGGAAGAACAUAUGUGUAAGUAACUGUGCACAUCUUGACGGUACCUAAUCAGAAAGCCACGGCUAACUACGUG
rnacentral:rRNA from 1 species